UACGUAGGGGGCAAGCGUUGUCCGGAUUUAUUGGGCGUAAAGAGCGUGUAGGCGGCUAGAUAGGUCCGUUGUGAAAACUCGAGGCUCAACCUCGAGACGUCGAUGGAAACCAUCUGGCUAGAGUCCGGAAGAGGAGAGUGGAAUUCCUGGUGUAGCGGUGAAAUUCGUAGAUAUCUGCAGGAACACCCGUGGCGAAAGCGGCGAGCUGGACCACUACUGACGCUGAAGAACGAAAGCUAGGGGAGCAAACAGG
rnacentral:rRNA from 1 species